AAAAAGACAAACCAUAGGUUUCCGUGUCCAACGUUUGACUGUCCGUCUUAUAUGAAAUUUUUUUAUAAUUAGUAUUUUCAUUAUUAUUAGAUAAUAAAACAUGAUUAAUACUUUAUGUGUGACUUGUCUUUUUAAUUUUUUUCAUAUUUUUUUCAAAUAAGACGGAUGGUCAAACAUUGGACACGGAAACCCAGGGUUUGUCUUUUU
rfam:Oryza glumipatula chromosome 11, whole genome shotgun sequence.